GACGAACGCUGGCGGCGUGCCUAAUACAUGCAAGUCGAGCGAGCGGAACUAACAGAUUUACUUCGGUAAUGACGUUAGGAAAGCGAGCGGCGGAUGGGUGAGUAACACGUGGGGAACCUGCCCCAUAGUCUGGGAUACCACUUGGAAACAGGUGCUAAUACCGGAUAAGAAAGCAGAUCGCAUGAUCAGCUUUUAAAAGGCGGCGUAAGCUGUCGCUAUGGGAUGGCCCCGCGGUGCAUUAGCUAGUUGGUAAGGUAAAGGCUUACCAAGGCGAUGAUGCAUAGCCGAGUUGAGAGACUGAUCGGCCACAUUGGGACUGAGACACGGCCCAAACUCCUACGGGAGGCAGCAGUAGGGAACCUUCCACAAUGGACGCAAGUCUGAUGGAGCAACGCUGCGUGAGUGAAGAAGGUUUUCGGAUCGUAAAGCUCUGUUGUUGGUGAAGAAGGAUAGAGGUAGUAACUGGCCUUUAUUUGACGGUAAUCAACCAGAAAGUCACGGCUAACUACGUGCCAGCAGCCGCGGUAAUACGUAGGUGGCAAGCGUUGUCCGGAUUUAUUGGGCGUAAAGCGAGCGCAGGCGGAAGAAUAAGUCUGAUGUGAAAGCCCUCGGCUUAACCGAGGAACUGCAUCGGAAACUGUUUUUCUUGAGUGCAGAAGAGGAGAGUGGAACUCCAUGUGUAGCGGUGGAAUGCGUAGAUAUAUGGAAGAACACCAGUGGCGAAGGCGGCUCUCUGGUCUGCAACUGACGCUGAGGCUCGAAAGCAUGGGUAGCGAACAGGAUUAGAUACCCUGGUAGUCCAUGCCGUAAACGAUGAGUGCUAAGUGUUGGGAGGUUUCCGCCUCUCAGUGCUGCAGCUAACGCAUUAAGCACUCCGCCUGGGGAGUACGACCGCAAGGUUGAAACUCAAAGGAAUUGACGGGGGCCCGCACAAGCGGUGGAGCAUGUGGUUUAAUUCGAAGCAACGCGAAGAACCUUACCAGGUCUUGACAUCUAGUGCCAUUUGUAGGGAUACAAAGUUCCCUUCGGGGACGCUAAGACAGGUGGUGCAUGGCUGUCGUCAGCUCGUGUCGUGAGAUGUUGGGUUAAGUCCCGCAACGAGCGCAACCCUUGUUAUUAGUUGCCAGCAUUAAGUUGGGCACUCUAAUGAGACUGCCGGUGACAAACCGGAGGAAGGUGGGGAUGACGUCAAGUCAUCAUGCCCCUUAUGACCUGGGCUACACACGUGCUACAAUGGGCAGUACAACGAGAAGCGAGCCUGCGAAGGCAAGCGAAUCUCUGAAAGCUGUUCUCAGUUCGGACUGCAGUCUGCAACUCGACUGCACGAAGCUGGAAUCGCUAGUAAUCGCGGAUCAGCACGCCGCGGUGAAUACGUUCCCGGGCCU
rnacentral:rRNA from 1 species